GAUCAUGGCUCAGGAUAAACGCUGGCGGCGCACAUAAGACAUGCAAGUCGAACGGACUUAACUCUUCUUUAGAUUGAGAGCGGUUAGUGGCGGACUGGUGAGUAACACGUAAGCAACCUGCCUAUUAGAGGGGAAUAACAGUGAGAAAUCAUUGCUAAUACCGCAUAAGCUGAUAGUAUCGCAUGAUACAGUCAGAAAAGGAGUAAUCCGCUAAUAGAUGGGCUUGCGUCUGAUUAGCUAGUUGGUGGGGUAACGGCCUACCAAGGCGACGAUCAGUAGCCGAGCUGAGAGGCUCUACGGCCACAUUGGGACUGAGAUACGGCCCAGACUCCUACGGGAGGCAGCAGUCGGGAAUAUUGCGCAAUGGAGGAAACUCUGACGCAGUGACGCCGCGUAUAGGAUGAAGGUUUUCGGAUUGUAAACUAUUGUCGUUAGGGAAGAAAUUUGACAGUACCUAAGGAGGAAGCUCCGGCUAACUAUGUGCCAGCAGCGGC
rnacentral:rRNA from 1 species